GUAUGUAAUAUUGCUGCUGCCCUUUUAUAAAUAACUCAAUAGAUUUUGAUUCUGCCAGUUCCAUAUUUGAAUAUUGCUGCUGCCAUUUUAUAAAUAACUCAAUAGAGAUUUUGAUUCUGCCGGUUCCAUAUUUGAUUAUUGCUGCAUAAAUUAUGCAAGUUUGUUGUCCAUGGCUUCAAUCUUGCAUUGUUGGCAUUUCAUAUGUUGUAGUGUAGCCUCUUUCUCCAACCUGCAGAAUACUAGCGUAGCCUGCAGCCUACUAAACAUUUGAGCCUUGAAGCUUAUGAUUGGAACAUAAGAGCUGCCUGCCAAUAUAUGCCUUCUUUUAUAUGCUGUUGGAAAUUACUAGCAGUUGGAACUCAAGUAUACUACCAUUUAACCUUCAAUGUUGUCAGUUUUUUUUUUUCAAUUCUUUCCUAAGUAAACAACUUACUUCGUACAGAAGCAAGUUUAAUUUGAACACCAUCCAUCUAGUUCAUUUUUAAUUCGUCACAGUAUUUAUUUAUUCAGGAAGAGGAAGGAUAUGGAAUGAGUCACGUCUGCCAAUACUUCAUCCUACUUGUCGUGCUUUCUUCUAAAUGGUCAAAACUGAAGAAAGGCUUCUGUCCUGCUUGUCAACAAAACUGAAGGAGCUAUUUCAUGUUGUGGCCCAGGAAGUAUCUAUCUUAUGGUCUGUACUUUCAUGCUGUAUGAACGGAUAAGUUAGUUGUAUCGUGUAUUCUGUAGGUUCGUCAAAAAGGAAGUUCGUCGUGUGUCCUCCUGUUUUAAGUACAAUCUUUAAUUUGACUUCAUCAGCUCAACGUCCUCGUAUCCCACUCCCUUGCCCUUCCGCCCUUGUGAGUUCCCCAGGUUCUGCUAUUUAUCAAGGUAUGUAAUAUUGCUGCUGCCCUUUUAUAAAUAACUCAAUAGAUUUUGAUUCUGCCGGUUCCAUAUUUGAAUAUUGCUGCUGCCCUUUUAUAAAUAACUCAAUAGAGAUUUUGAUUCUGCCGGUUCCAUAUUUGAAUAUUGCUGCGUAAAUUAUGCAAGUUUGUUGUCCAUGGCUUCAAUCUUGCAUUUUUGGCAUUUCAUAUGUUGUAGUGUAGCCUCUUUCUCCAACCUGCAGAAUACUAGCGUAGCCUGCAGCCUACUAAACAUUUGAGCCUUGAAGCUUAUGAUUGGAACAUAAGAGCUGCCUGCCAAUAUAUGCCUUCUUUUA
rnacentral:lncRNA from 1 species